rnacentral:rRNA from 1 species
GACGAACGCUGGCGGCGUGCCUAAUACAUGCAAGUCGACCUUAGUGGCGGACGGGUGAGUAAUGCCUAGGAAUCUGCCUGGUAGUGGGGGAUAACGUCCGGAAACGGGCGCUAAUACCGCAUACUAUCAGAUGAGCCUAGGUCGGAUUAGCGAGUUGGUGGGGUAAAGGCCUACCAAGGAGACGAUCCGUAACUGGUCUGAGAGGAUGAUCAGGCACACUGGAACUGAGAAACGGUCCAGACUCCUACGGGAGGCAGCAGUGGGGAAUAUUGGACAAUGGGCGAAAGCCUGAUCCAGCCAUGCCGCGUGUAUGAAGAAGGCCUUAGGGUUGUAAAGUACUUUCAGCGGGGAGGCGUUACCCGCAGAAGAAGCACCGGCUAACUCCGUGCCAGCAGCCGCGGUAAUAC